rnacentral:rRNA from 1 species
AACGCUAGCUACAGGCUUAACACAUGCAAGUCGAGGGGUAGCAGGGUAGCAAUACCGCUGACGACCGGCGCACGGGUGAGUAACACGUAUCCAACCUUCCCAUAACUCUGGGAUAGCCUUUCGAAAGAAAGAUUAAUACCGGAUGGUACUUUUUCAAGGCAUCUUGAGAAAGUUAAAGAUUUAUUGGUUAUGGAUGGGGAUGCGUUCCAUUAGAUAGUUGGUGAGGUAACGGCUCACCAAGUCUUCGAUGGAUAGGGGUUCUGAGAGGAAGGUCCCCCACAUUGGUACUGAGACACGGACCAAACUCCUACGGGAGGCAGCAGUGAGGAAUAUUGGUCAAUGGGCGAGAGCCUGAACCAGCCAAGUAGCGUGAAGGAUGAAGGUCCUAUGGAUUGUAAACUUCUUUUAUAGUAGAAUAAAGUGACCUACGUGUAGGUUUUUGUAUGUAUACUAUGAAUAAGGAUCGGCUAACUCCGUGCCAGCAGCCGCGGUAAUACGGAGGAUCCGAGCGUUAUCCGGAUUUAUUGGGUUUAAAGGGUGCGUAGGCGGAAUAAUAAGUCAGUUGUGAAAGUUUGCGGCUCAACCGUAAAAUUGCAGUUGAUACUGUUAUUCUUGAGUGUACAUAAGGUAGGCGGAAUUCGUGGUGUAGCGGUGAAAUGCUUAGAUAUCACGAAGAACUCCGAUUG